UGAGGAAUAUUGGUCAAUGGGCGAGAGCCUGAACCAGCCAAGUAGCGUGCAGGACGACGGCCCUAUGGGUUGUAAACUGCUUUUAUGUGGGGAUAAAGUGCGUGACGUGUCAUGCAUUGCAGGUACCAUAUGAAUAAGGACCGGCUAAUUCCGUGCCAGCAGCCGCGGUAAUACGGAAGGUUCGGGCGUUAUCCGGAUUUAUUGGGUUUAAAGGGAGCGUAGGCCGUUUGGUAAGCGUGUUGUGAAAUGUAGGAGCUCAACUUCUAGAUUGCAGCGCGAACUGUCAGACUUGAGUGAGCACAACGUAGGCGGAAUUCAUGGUGUAGCGGUGAAAUGCUUAGAUAUAAUGAAGAACUCCGAUUGCGAAGGCAGCUUACGGGAGCGCAACUGACGCUGAAGCUCGAAGGUGCGGGUAUCGAACAGG
rnacentral:rRNA from 1 species